GGGCUUGUAGAGUAGUCAGGAUAACUCACCCGCCAGAAACCUUAGAAAAUGGUGCGUGGAAACACAAACCAGAAGUAAUUGGGAGUAUUCGGGAGAACGUUGGUUCGAAUCCAACCAAGUCCA
rnacentral:tRNA from 1 species